rnacentral:Y_RNA from 1 species
GGCUGCUCUGGAGGUUGUGAGUUAUUUCAGUUGAUUGUUCAUCAUGGUUAGAAAUAAAACUCCUUUUUCUAUUCUUGCUCCUAUUUUCUCACUACUAUAUUUGAGUAGUCUUUA